rnacentral:rRNA from 1 species
AAUCAACGCUGGCGGCGUGCCUAACACAUGCAAGUCGAGCGAGAAAAGGGGAGCAAUCCCCUGAGUACAGCGGCGCACGGGUGAGUAACACGUGGGUAAUCUGCCCUGGAGUGGGGAAUAACACCGGGAAACCGGUGCUAAUACCGCAUACGAUAGCGAGGUCUGCGGACUUUGUUAUGAAAGGAGCAAUUCGCUUUAGGAGGAGCCCGCGGCUGAUUAGCUAGUUGGUGAGGUAACGGCUCACCAAGGCGACGAUCAGUAGCCGGUCUGAGAGGACGGUCGGACACACUGGAACUGAGACACGGUCCAGACUCCUACGGGAGGCAGCAGUGGGGAAUUUUUGGCAAUGGGGGAAACCCUGACCAAGCAACGCCGCGUGGGUGAUGAAGUCUCUUGGGACGUAAAACCCUUUCGACGGGGAAGAAACCGCAAGGUUGACGGUACCCGUAGAAGAAGCCCCGGCUAACUCCGUGCCAGCCGCCGCAGUAAGAC